rnacentral:rRNA from 1 species
GUGUCAGCAGCCGCGGUAAUACGUAGGUGGCAAGCGUUGUCCGGAUUUACUGGGCGUAAAGAGCGCGCAGGCGGUCGGAUCAGUCGAAUGUGAAAGCCCCCGGCUCAACUGGGGAGGGUCAUUCGAUACUGUCCGACUCGAAGGCAGGAGAGGGAAGCGGAAUUCCCGGUGUAGUGGUGAAAUGCGUAGAUAUCGGGAGGAACACCAGUGGCGAAGGCGGCUUUCUGGCCUGUUCUUGACGCUGAGGCGCGAAAGCUAGGGGAGCGAACGGGAUUAGAAACCCCCGUAGUCC